rnacentral:rRNA from 1 species
GACGAACGCUGGCGGCGUGCUUAACACAUGCAAGUCUACGAGAACGAGGUAGCAAUAUCUUUAUUAAAGUGGCGCACGGGUGCGUAACACGUAAGCAAUCUACCUUUGGGUCUGGAAUAACUUCGAGAAAUCGAGGCUAAUACCGGAUAAUGCAGCGGCACCGCAUGGUGAUGUUGUUAAAGUUUGAGUAAUGCCUAUAGAUGAGCUUGCGUCUGAUUAGCUAGUUGGUAGGGUAAAGGCCUACCAAGGCUACGAUCAGUAGCUGGUCUGAGAGGAUGAUCAGCCACACCGGAACUGAGACACGGUCCAGACUCCUACGGGAGGCAGCAGUGAGGAAUAUUGGGCAAUGCCCGCAAGGGUGACCCAGCAACGCCGCGUGGAGGAUGAAGGCCGUAAGGUUGUAAACUCCUGUUAGAGGAGAAGAACAGUACCGAUUGGAUCGGUAUUUGACUGUACCCUCAGAGAAAGCCCCGGCUAACUACGUGCCAG